rnacentral:tRNA from 1 species
GGGCAGUUAGCUCAGUUGGUAGAGCGUCCGCUUGACGUGCGGAAGGUUUUCAUAGGUUCGAAUCCUAUACUGCCCA